rnacentral:lncRNA from 1 species
UUCUUUAUUCUUAUCAACUCUUUUUUAUUUAUAGUAUAAUUUCAAUAGUUUAUAGCUUUUUAUCUUUUACACUAGCCAUUCUAGUUUUUCCUUGAAUAUACAUACUUUUUUAAUUAUUUUUUUGUUAUCUUUCUACGAGAUAUAUUUCAUUUAUUUGAUUACUUUCUUCAAGUUCUUGUCCUUGGCAUUAUGUCAAUAUUUAAUAAUUUUGUAC